CCGAUUCAGCCCUGAGGCAGAAAAACUGGACAAAGCAGUUUUUUUCCCCCUUCCCCUUUAUAGAGUGUGUGAUUUGUGCAACAGCUUUGGCUUGGCAAAUAGGGAAGUGUCAGCGCUAAAUCAGCUUUACUCUAAGGGCACGGUACGCCUGUGUUUCUCAACCGAGUGAUACCCAAAUCCAGGACCAUUUUACUUCAAGUGGAAUACACACACAGAGCAAACAUUCUCAAGUCUUACAAAGUGGCCAGACCUCAUCCAAUUGGCUGAAGAUCCACCUAAGAGGACUGAAUGCGCGAUCCUGCUGCAAGAAGCAUGGUGGACGCCUACCCAGUGGGUUAGAAGAGGUUGAGCAACACAAGUCUUCCAUACCAGGUGACUUAAAGACAACAGUGAGGAUAUCCAUAUUCUGGAGGUUGGAUCUCUGGGAAAGCUGGUCACUGGCUUCUGCCUGGCAUGAAGGGUACAGAAGGUAGGAUUUCCUUCUUUAAGGUGUUUGGUAUAUGAAACUGCGUGUUUCUGGCCUGUGCUACCUUGUCCCAGUUUAAAGCCCACUGUACUAGCUUGACAUCUGGCUGAGGCAUGAUCCCUUUCUUUUCAUUUCAUUCAGCCUUGAUCUCCCAAUUGGCCUUUGACUGCUGACUUUCGUACUCUUUUUGGUUCCAGACUGUCUGCUUGGCCUGACCUUGUGCUUAAUGCUUGACCUCUCCAUGACUCCUAGGAACCAUACCCUGAACCUAGAUUGACUGCUGUCCACAGCUCAGUCAGAAAAUGGAAGCCUUUAGAAUAAAUGAAUUAUCAAAGAGAGGAGAAAUACA
rnacentral:lncRNA from 1 species